GGUUAUCGGGCGCGGGGGGAGGACUGAGGCUGGCAAGGUGAGAGCUCGGAUUGCCGGAGUGCCGGGAGGAAGCUGCCAUUUGUGAGCUGUGAGUGACGAGCGUGUAAUUUCAGCACCACUAAUGGACACUUAUUUUUCAUCAACUGGAGGAAAGAUGGGAAGGCGGAAGGAAACAAAUGAUCAUUACGGGUUAACCAACACAGAAGACAGAAGGAGUAUCAGCAGGGAUGACAUGGAACUAAUGCCACACAGAGAAGCAACCAGUGUGCCCAAAACAUCUUGGCAAAACUGAUGUAUUCCCAGGCUGUGGGGAGAUUACAGUACAAGUUCCUAUGAGAAUAUAUUGCAGACUGUGUGCUAGGAAAGCACCUCCAUUGGGGAAAAUUUGCCUGUGGAACGAGAAAUACAUAAGCAGAAACUGGGAACUGAAGAAAUGUUGUUAAGAUUGCCAGUCAGAAACAAUGUUCAACAUGGAGAGAGCAGGAAGAAGCUUAUACAGAAAAAGAGAGAGAUCCUGAUGGUCCUUCACGAUCCCUUCUCAGACCUGGAAGAUGUAGAUGUGACUGCAAGCUUGCUUCCUGAGGUAUUUCCUGUGAUAAGACUCUAGGAGAUGAGAGAUAUCAUCAUCGUCAUCGUGGUGGUCACUGUCCUCGUCAACGGAACAACGCCCAACAACCCACCUCUACUGAAGAGCAACGACUGAACUAUGAACCACGCUGGACCCAUGGUGGUGACAAUCUCCCUCUUGCUCCCUCUAGAGACUCCUUGCUCCUAUUUCCUAUCUUUUCUACUGCCCUUCUUUCCUUCCCCAUCACCCUAAUUUGUACGUAUGAAGACUCCUUGCUUCUAUUUUCUAUCUUUUCUAUCGCCUUUCUUCCCUUCCCCAUUGCCCCAGUCCAUAAUAGUGUCUGUCCUCCCCUUUCCCCAUCUCCCUUAUUAACAUUUGUAAUAAACUGGUUGGAC
rnacentral:lncRNA from 1 species